UACGAACGCGGGUGGCAAGCUUAACACGUGCAAGUCGAACGGAUUAUUCUUUAUAGCUUGCUAUGGAGGAUAAUUAGUGGCAGACGGGUGAGUAAUGCAUAGGAAUCUACCUAGUAGUAUGGGAUAGCCACUAGAAAUGGUGGGUAAUACUGUAUAAUCCCUGUGGGGGAAAGAUUUAUCGCUAUUAGAUGAGCCUAUGUUAGAUUAGCUAGUUGGUAGGGUAAAGGCCUACCAAGGCGAUGAUCUAUAGCUGGUCUGAGAGGAUGAUCAGCCACACUGGAACUGAGAUACGGUCCAGACUCCUACGGGAGGCAGCAGUGGGGAAUAUUGGACAAUGGGCGCAAGCCUGAUCCAGCUAUGCCGCGUGAGUGAGGAAGGCCUUAUGGUUGUAAAACUCUUUCACUAUGGAAUAUAAUGACUGUACCUAC
rnacentral:rRNA from 1 species